AUGGCCCUUUUCGCCGUCUCGCAAACGGGCGCUGGCUUUAGGAAAGGAUGUUCCAUGACCGUAAAUGCAGGCCCCCCACAGUGCUUGCUAUCGCGGCAAUAUCGCCAGUGGUGCUGUCGUGAUGCGGUCUUCGCAUGGACCGCACAAUGAAGAUACGGUGCUUUUGUAUCGUACUUAUUGUUUCUGGUGCGCUGUUAACCGAGGUAAAUAAUAACCGGAGUCUCUCCGGUAACAAUUUACUGGUGGUCAACAACCUUCAGAACAGCAGGUAAGCCCGAAUGCCGCCCUUUGGGGCGGCAUAUUUU
rfam:Shigella dysenteriae Sd197, complete genome.